CCGGUAGUUCAGUUGGUUAGAAUGCCAGCCUGUCACGCUGGAGGUCGACGGUUCGAAUCCGUUCCG
rnacentral:tRNA from 1 species